GUGUGUGUGUGUGUGUGUAUUGACUUCUAGUUUGGUAAUAGGCUUGGAAAAAAUAAAAAAGUCUCAUUAAUCAGCCUAUGUGAUGUUCAACUCAUUUCCCCUUUACUUCCCCACACUUCUUCGAGGGUAUUAAGCAUUGAAUCUCAGCAGCACCAGCAGAAACCUACCUCUUUUCUUGUUGAAUCAUUUUCCGGAAUUUAAGAAUUGAAGUAGCACCACCUAUUAACAAAGGAGCACAUAUAAUGCACUUAAUGGAAAAGCUCCUGGUGAGUUCUUGGAUAAGUUCUGUGCUUAAUUUUUGUCCUAAAGUUAAGUCUCUUUGAAACUUUGAAAUCAGUCCACUGAACCUAAGCAGGUAAGCAAGCACAUUACAUUCCCUUCUUUAUAAUUAAUUUACAGAUGCACAGAUUUGAAAACCUGAAAACAUCUUGGGUUUGUAGCAUAGGCCAUAACAUUUCACAAAGCUACUGGUGUAUGAAAGUUGUUCAUGUACAUAGUAAUAUACAGCCACCAAAUAAUGCAAAAUUCCCUGUUGACUAGAUCCUCACUGACUAGAUAUUCAUUGACCUAUUUCAAGGCUGAAAGUUGUUCAUUUUAUUUUACAGCAAUAAAGUGUUGCAGAAUUCAUGAAGUGUUAAAAAUAUGUCAAUAUCCUUUACCCUGGAAUAUGUGCUACAAUUCAAGAAGCCUUUCUAUAUGAAAAGAUUUAACUCACGAUUUCAUGAGUUUUAUUAACUCAGUGAACUAUUUUGACAACUGGAAGGUUCUAAAGUAUGCUGGCCUAUUUCUUUUCACAAUUAAGAAAAGCCAUGUAACUGAAGUCUGCUUCACAGCAAAUGUGAGAAUCCACCUGACAUACUGCAGUUAUUAGAACAUUUAAAACCACAGUAAAUUUCAACUAUUUUAUCUGUCCAUCAAAGAGCUUGUUGAAAAACAUCUUGACAUUUCAAACUUGUUCAUAAAUUCUACAUAAUUUGCUGUGUUUUCCUACUUGGCCCUUCUUUGUGCUUGGUGGACUGUACUCUGUCCUGCAGUAACUUAUAGUUGCGACUCCCAAAGAAUGUCCUUCACUAAAAUCAGUCUCACUAAAAUCUGUUCAUUUUUUAUGGUAAUUUCUUAAUCUGGCAUGCUGAGCAAUCCUAAAGUGCUGAGCAAUCCUAAAGUGCUGAGCACAACUUUUAACACUAUAUGAAUAUUAACUUAAUCAAAAUCAUUACUCAGAACAUCUUUCAGCAUUAAAAAGUGUCUGGCAGCAAUAUUUACUUUAAAAAUUAUGUCUCUGCUGUUUGUUCUUCCUCAAAGCAAUCCAGUAAAGCAGCUAAGAGGAAAGGCACACAGGCUUCAGUUUGAUGCUGUAUGGAGCUUCUGGUCAGCUAAAAGCACAGCCAGGACUUCCCUCCAUCUUGCCUAUAUAUCAGGCUGUGCUUGCUGGCCUCCUCUUACAGGGCUCUGAGAGCAUGAUUUCAGGUACUCUCAGUAGGGUGUGGAGUCAUUUGCUCACAAAAAUCAAACAGGAAGGCUAAGCAAUGCAGAAGUUAGCCAUGACUUUUAAAUUUUAAUUUAAAUUACUUACAGAUGUUUUGGGGAUGAUUUUGUAUAAAUUAUUUAGCUGGCACAAUAGGAUACAUAUUUUGGAGAAGUACUACUUUGAUCUGGGUUAUGUAUGAAUAGCUGGUUUCUUUGCAUCAACACUUCCCUAAGCACAUCUGUAAAUUAAGCAUUCAAAUAUGUAAGCUCACAGCAUACCAUAAAAUAGAAAUGUUUCAGACUGCACUGUAACUUUCCACAGGGACUUCACAUAAUCAAAGUAAAAGUACAAGUGCUGACCCAACUAUUUGAUUUAAGACUUGGAAAGGGAGAGGGAGAGUAGAGGUAUCAGUGUCAGCAGGCGGUUCAUAAUCCAAAUAAACUUCCAAAUGAAAACAAUAUGGAAAAUCUCUGUACCUUAAGGGCAGAACAGCUUUGCUGUAUAAAGCAUUUUAUUUGGUCUGUUAUGGUUUUCUCUGCAGAACAAAAAUAUCACUGUCUGCUGGCUUAAUGGAGAACAGUUGGAUCAUAAAAAUAUCAAAUGCAUGUAUUUGGCAACCACUAAUAAUCUACACAUAUUUAUGUAACUGCAAUUUUUUUUUCUUUUGGAAUAUACCGUCUGGAAAUAUAGCCUGAGGCUUCCUCAGAUCUCCUGGAAAGAAUUAGCAUUCAUAUCACCUCUGCAAAAAUAUGUUAUGUCAAGCAGGUUACUUUUUCCUAAGUUCUUUGAAGGUUUUUUGCUGUUGGUGGUGGUUUAUUAUUAUUAUUAUUAUUAAUAUUCAAUAUUCUUCAUUCAUAUAUGUUCAUUUGGUAUUAUUGUUAUUAUUAUUAUUAUAGCUUUACUUAUUCACAGCUAACACAGAUGUUUACAUUACAAGGAAGCUCUAACAUCUGCUUUCCAGUGACCAUCAAACAAGUGAAUUAGUAAGUAUGGAACAUAUUGUGACUAUGUUUUGAAUGCUUAAAAAUGGAAGCAUUUAGUACUUGCCUUCAGAGCUUUUGGGCCCCAGAGAAAAAGGAUGUUACUAAUGAAUUUCUGGUAGUUUAGAAUGCUUACAGAAAGCAGCACUACCUAGCUUACAAAUUCUGAAUUUCCCAAUUGCUUAAAAGGAAAUGUAGUUGUUUGCUAGAAUUAACUAAGGCAUUACUUAUGAGAAUUAUUUCUAUUAAUGGAGUCACAGAAAAGCUUUUCUACAAGGUGAUAGAUGCAUAUUUUACUUGCAUAGUUCAUAUGCCCUCAGAAGAAUCCAAAUCUUUCCGGCAAUCUAGCUCUAAUACUUUUACUUAGUACUAUUGUUCCCUAACAGAUACAAAUCUGCUAUGUGACUUACAGAUAUGAUCUUGCCUUUUGUCUAGAAAAAUAAUAAGCCCAACAGUACAGAAUCAUGUUAGACACCCACUGACUUUAUUAAGGUCACUGGCAAUAUUGCUUUAAAUUUCAGUGAAACUAUUUUUUUUUUUUUCUCUAAAGACUUUUAAAAUUUGGUUUAAAAUCUCUAAAUGAUAAAUAUAUCUACUAAAAAUAAUUUGACAUGUUUUUCUUUCAACUAUCAGAUUUUCUAUCCAGUUGGAGCCCUUUUCAUAGAAACUGAACAUGAUUACUUGUAGCCACUAAAACAACCAUUUUAUCUAAUACUGUUUGUAUAGCCAUUUCUUUCUUCACCAUAAUUUGCUCUUUCUUUAUAGGCAUUUGCUUGAAGCUGUAGAUUUUAUAAUUUGAGAAUGUGUGUUGGAAAGUUCUAGACUAAUGAGCAUCUACAUUAAUUUUGGGGUACGGAAGGGAUUUAAUCCUUAAACAGGAAGAAAGAAUAUAUGAAUAUCAUUGAGAAACUGCAAAGGGUACUGCCUUUAUGUGGAUUAAACUAAUUAAACCAAUACGAUGGUAAGUAUCUGCACUAAUUCUUAGUGAAAUUCUUAGGGACCACUUAUAAAAGUUGCUUGCAGAAUCUCGAAUUCUGUAGGAAUACUUUAGUUUAAGUGCCAAGUAGUUUUGCAAAUAGCAUCCAGCUGUCUGAGUCUUCCUGCAGACUUUUUACCUAGUCUCUUCUUAUUUUCUGAUCUUGAAGACUGCCCAUUUUGUUCUAAAGCUCAAGGAAAAAAAUUUUGCUCAUUGGUGUUAAUCGAAAAGACAGUGGUAGAUAAGGAGCACUUGGCUUCACAUACCUCUGUAACAUUUUAAUAACUCAUAGAAUUUAUGAAAACUUUGAUGUUUUUGCCUUUCUGAGGCCAAAACUUUAUUACGACUGGGGAUAUUCAUUUGUAGCUUGCAUGCAGUUGGUGAGGUCUUCUGGGAUGAUUACUGAGCUAGAGAUCAAAAAUGCAUCAUCACUUAAAAUGGGGCCAUACGAUGCUUCUGAAAGGCAAUCAGACCUGCUCUAUCUGGUGUCCUCUGAAAGACAGAAGAUUCCUUCAGAGCUGUCUCUCUUUAGAAAGAAAAUGCAUUCCGCCUGGCUCUUGCAUGCUUUGUUCUGGCUUUUGUGAUCUUCACUUUCAGUGUUCCCUGAAAAAUAUCACUGUUUCUGUGAUUUAUAGAUCAAAAUGCAUUCUCUUAUGUAGCUGGAGCUUGAUCCCUUAACUGAAAACUUGAACCAAGGCUUUCAGCUGGUAUAGAACUGGAUGCCAGUUGACAGUUUUCUGCAUCAGCUUCAUAUUCUUUCUUAAUCCACAACCCUGGAAGAAGGAGGGCAGUCACAAAGGCUCCACAGGCACCACAGAUGCCUUUAAGCCAUUUUGGCUUUCAGAUUUGCCUAUGAAUUAUAUACAUAGAAUACAGAAGUAAAAAUGUCUGAAUCAGUGUAAUUGCAAUCAUCAAAAAGAAACAUAGCAGAUACGUCAACUGUGUAAGUAAUACAGCACUACAGGCAUGUCCAGCUAAGGUUAAAGAAGGUAGAGCUCUCUUGACACUGGACACAGGUUGUUUCUUCCAAGUGUACAUAAGUUGCUGAAAUUCUUUGCUUUGGUUUAUGCUCAGAGACAUUUGGGAUACUUUAAAAAUUGAUGUUCUUAUUAUUUUGUUAUUUUGCCGAGGGAGAGAGCACUGGAACAUAGUGUUACAGUAGCAUAUAACUUUCCAUUUUGAACUCUGAUUUUAUGUUUUGCUUUUGAUAGAAUUUUGCAAUUCAAGAUAUUCUCACUAAUCAACUGAAACAAUAUUAGUAUGUGUAAACACAAAAAUAUAUUUGAUUGUAGUGCGUGUAACUGUGAUUAGAUUUCAUUAGCACAUUCAUUCUGUCUGCUUCCAGAAAAAAAAACAAAAGCAACAACAAAAAAACCCCAAUCUUUGGCUAUGAAUGUUAACUUGAUAUUCAGAGAUACAAUUCAACGUUUAUUAUAUAUAACUCACUUCAGUGCACAAGAAGAAAGUCUGAUACCUAAAAGUGUACUUAUGUCAGUACAUCUCAGCUUAAUUUUCUAUUUAUAUCCCCCCCUUCAAACUAUAGUUGAAAACUGGAAAAGGGAUGAAAUAGUGCAAUUACAUUUUGUAGAUCAACUAGCUGAUUCCAUGUUUAUAACCCUUAUUAACCUGACAAGGAGGAGUGGAAUGGCCAGCAAAUCAUAUGCAGGAUUGUAAAUGUCAAAGUAUGAGCAUAGUACCAUAAUUACCAAAGCACAUCAGGUAUUAUUAGAAUUUUGAUAGUUCCCUCUUCUGACAAAUAUGGUAAUGAAAAUAGAAAAUAUACAAAAUUGAUUUAUUUUCAUGAUGAAAAUAGUAAUGAUAUGAGAUGAUUACAUCCAAUUUGCAGUCUCAAAUUUGUCAUUUCCCAUUGGACUGGACCAGAAAUCUUAGUAGCUUAAUUAAAUCAGUAAUAAUAAUUCCUCCUCCCUAUCCCCUUCUGCUCAGAAGAGGGAAACCUUAAUGGAAAGGCAAGAACAUUUCCGCAAUAAAAGUUGCCUUGAGCUUUUUACUCAAAACAGUGAUUAAGCAUUUUAUUAUAUACUUUUAUCUGUGCUCUUAACCACUGAUAUUUCAGAGACUGAAUCAGUCUUCAGAAGAAAUCUUAAGAAAUAUUAAAUAUUUACCUAAAGACUUGUUACAUAUAUUGCAUGAGAAAACUUGAAAGGUUUUUUUUUUCCUAAACUCUAUACCAAUGUUCUUUUUCUUAGACUGGUAAUAGAAUAUGUAUAUUGAUUUUUGAAGAAGUGAUCAAAUAACAAUAUUUGGCCUUAUAUUGUGAACUUACUAGUGCAGCAUUUCUGAAAGGUUUUUAUCAUAACUGACAUUCUAUUCAAAAAUAAUAUGUUAAAAAAUACUGUUAAAAAAUCCAGAAAUCAAGAUUUUAAUUAGUCAGCUAAAAGCACUCAUAUUUGUUUACUCUUCUACUGUGGAAAGUCCAGUAAAAAUGAAGCAUUCAGUAGAUAUUAAAAAUCUGUCCACCUCCAUUAUUUAGGCUUAUUAUUCAGUGGUUCAUUCUUCAAUAAGUAGGACAAAGUUCAUGUAGGAAAUAAACAGACAAUUGAUAGAGCUUUCUGAUCAAAUCUCAUAUAGUAGCAACAACCAGUUUGCCUUUGCUUUUUGAUAUCAUUUUUAUUUUUCUCUCUCCUUUUCUCAGGAACAAGACUAUAAGAGUAGCUAAUUUAAUUCUUUGUGGUUCUCUGAAACCAGUAUGAAGCUAUGAUUCAAGUUAACAUUGUUACCAUCAUCCCCAUCUAAUCUGGGGUAAUCAAUUUAAUCUUUUUCUUUUUCUUUUCUUUUUUUUUCAGUGAGUUCCUCUGAUAAACUUCUGUCUAAGAAACUGUUUCUGUCAAUAUUUUAAUGUGACACGGAUGAACAGGAGGAAGAUGUGGAGUCUAAUCUCAGCAGAUGGUUGUCAAAACUGCACAGAGUGACUGAGAAUGCAGAAAAAAAUAAGAGGAGAGUUUCCUCCAUUUUGUUUUUAUGUCAUGAAUAGUGAAUAAAUCAUAUAUUAUUGACAAAUACAAAAUAAUAAAAACUAGAUAAAGUGAAAAGAAUGAAAACAAUUUUGCUGAAAAUGUAUUUUGCAGAUAACUGUAUGUGAUUACUCAUAGACAUUAAAUGAAUGUUGAUUUGACUAAAAACAAUAAAAAUGGACAUAUGCAUUGUAUUUAUGCAUUGAUAAUCUCAUCUUGGAGAUAUUACAAGAAUGAUUCCUGUUGACAAGAAAAGAAGAAUGUCUUUCAAGCUGUUACUUAGUUACUGACAAAUCAAGUAUGUCAAUUGGACACAAGGAUGGGCAAAGCAGACUUGUAAGACAGAUAGGCUGCUAUAAGUUUUACAUCUGAUUGUGGCUGGAAAUCUGAAUGUUAACUCAAACUUUUCUCUCCAUUUAUAGACUUCAUAUUCUUAUUCAUUGAACUAUACCCUGUGUCUUGAUUUGUGCCAGAAAAAAAAUGGAUUAGAACUCUUUUCUUAUUUGAAAAAGUUUCUAGAUAUAGACCUGUACUAUUUAUUUUCUGUGUAGUUGGAAUGUAGACAUCAAAAACAGACACUUGAACUAACGAAACAAGAUAUUUCUACCAGCCUUUUUGAAUAGUGUUUGAUUGCUUUACAAUAUUUUUCUGUGUAAAUGUGCAUCUAUUGUAUUUUGAUUAUCAUACAGGCAAAAGUCAUUUCUUAGUGGAUUUUUUUAUAAACAGGCUAGGACUAUGUAAGUGACUUAGUGUCACUACUGAAUGUGUUUGUUGUUAUAGGGUUACUAAUCCUCCCACUUCAGCAGAAUUUAUCUGACUCGUGGAAUAGAGGGACUGCAACAGGAAUUUCAAGUUAAGUGGGUGCCUUUGAAUGGUGUCAAAUCAAGGACUUUCACUGACUCAUUAAUAAAUACGCUUUACAUUAAGCAUCGUUGUAUUACGUUUAGUAUAUGUUAAACAUACAUAAUGUAAUUCUACAGUAAUUAUAAUAAUAGUAAAGGAUAAAAUUACUUUAGGAAGAAAUGAAACUGACUUUCUGCUGAUUUGUAGUGUAUGGUUGUUUUUUGUUUGCUUGUUUGUUUAUUUUUCAUUCCUUUUGCCAUUCUGGAGUCUGUUCCCAACAAUUUUCAAUUACAAUUGCCUCCUACUAAAAAAGUAAAGAAGCUGCAGUUUUUAUAUAUAAGCAUUCUUGUUCAAAAGUCAAAGGUUAAUUUGAAUACUGAAAAUCUGUACACAGCCUUGGCAGCUUAACAGGUAUUUUGAGCACUUGUAAACUAAUUUAUACUGGAAAGAAUAAAAAUUACAAGGGUUACUAAUCUUCAUGCUGAAAUCAUUAAGAUAAUUACCACUAACCGUUUUAUUAUCCAAGUAUAUCAAGGGAAAUGUAGUUGAAUCCUGAAGCAAUGAAUGAAAAAAAAGAAGAGUAGGUAUGUACCAAUCUGCAAUUUGAAUGACAUGUUGAAAAACAGAUGCUUGUGCAUGUGUCUUGUACUGGUACAUAACUUUUCUAUAAGUAAACUUAAAAGGUGUGUCUGUUAAGUGGCAUACUGUCUCUGCGAGAUCUAUUAUUUCUUAAAACUUUGCUAUGUCAAGACUCCUUUUCUGGUACUUUCCACCUAUUGCAGUUCUCCUGUAUCCGAUUUGAUUUACAAGUCUUCCUCAAGUCACAUAAGGCUAUUAUUUUUGUAGGGUUUUGUUUGUUUGUUUUCCCAAUUUAAAAACACAAUGCUUUCAAAAUCUAUUUGUAACCAUUUUAUUUAAUUGCUUUUAAAAAAUCUUGAGUCUUAGAAUGGAAAUGAAAAUCAGGUAAGAUACAAAAGUUACCCUGAAAAAUCAAACACUCACUGUGAUCAUUCUCACUGAACCUGAGUCAUUGCUCUUCCUAGAACUUCUCAUGCAAAUAUGUUUACAACUGCAUAUAUAUAGUUUCCAGAUUGUUUUAUUUUAAAAAGAUAUAUUUCCCCAUUCACUUCUAUUUUCUAAAAUAUCAGGAAAGCAUCUAAGAGUUUGCUUUGAAUUUGGGAGAGAAGAAGUCAAUAACUAGUCAACUUUUUUCAUGUCUUUUACCCAUAUUAGAAAUGAAAGAAGUCUACAAGUAAUGUUCUGCUAUGUUAUGCACCCUUGUUGUGGAAAGACCCUCUACCAUAAUAAAAACAAUGUUUACCUACGAAACUCUAGAAUUCAGCUUGACUGUAACAGAAAAAAAUAAAAAAAUUAAAAAAAAAUUAAAAAAUCUUCUGUACAUUUUGCUAUA